UGUGGUCCAUGUUGUCCCAUGUGGGUUUCACCCUAUAAAACUCCUCUGUAAAGUGGGGUCCCUGGGGCUACCCACUCGGGACGCCUCCUGCCCUCAGGAGUUUUCCUAUCAAUAAAUACCUUCCUUCUUUUAACCUGUGUUGUUCCUAAGACUCAUUCUUCAAUUUCUAAAAAAGAAAAGGUCAGUGUAUCGUACAGUCAACAGGUUGACAGAUAUACUUCAUAUUUCAUAUUUUCCCCGGCACUCCUAACCCUGCACAGCCUGGCCCCUGCAUUCCCACAGUCUAAAGUCAGUCCUAAAUGGUGUCUUUUCCUGCAUUCUUUGUUUCUUUUAGAUAACGUCCAUGUACUUAGGAAAAUAAAUUCAGGCCUAUACUGCCUUUUGGUACACAGUGGCUCGGCAGGCCCUGUGGGUCGUGGGCUCCCCACCUUCGGCCCAUGCUGGGGGAGCAGGCGGUGCGCGCUGUCCAGGGAACAGGGGACAGCAAAGCUCCUCGCUCAGCGCCCAGGCGGGUUCGCUAGUCAGGAGGCAGAGCUCCUCUGUGACAGCGCGAUGGGUAGACAGAGGAUUGACAGAGGAGCGUCCCACCCGGGAAUGAGGAUCCCAGGCUUCCUGUGUCUGAGGGCGGGACACACUGUGAUGACAGGGACCUCCCCUCCCCCCACUGAGGGCUGCACCGCUGAGCUGGUCCUCUGGGUGCACUGCCUCCUUCAGAUCUGCGGUUAGUUACCAGCUGCGCUCCUCUCGGUGGCCUGAGGCAACACCAGUCACUGGACUUUCACCACGG
rnacentral:lncRNA from 1 species